CAAACCAGUAAAACAAGAAUUUCUGUACAGUCCGCGCCUAUCCAUAGCAAAAUGGAGGACUUCUCCAGGGAACUGCAACUCCCAAGAAGCAAUGCGAGGGAAGGUGGCGGUCACAAUUUUUUCCCCGUCUGCACCUCUAGGUCCAAUAUUGGAAAUAGGUGCUGACGUUUAAAUAACACAGCGUCCUCAUACUAAAUCUGGGGGGGAACUGGUAACUCGAAAACCAAAUACUCGGUCUUCCGAAAGAACUAACUCAACCUACUCCUCUGCAAGAGGGUCCGAAAACCAUUGUUACGCCCAUUGGGUAGCCCCGCCCUUGGGGGGGGGCAAAGGGCGUGAAAGCGGAAGUGACGACACCCGGCGCUCCACUAAAUAGCCGUAGACGGAACCUCGGCUUUCUCUCGGCCUUAGCGCCAUUUUUUUGGGUGAGUGUUUUUGGUUCCUGCGUUGGGAUUCCGUGUACAAUCCAUAGACAUCUGACCUCGGCACUUAGCAUCAUCACAGCAAACUAACUGUAGCCUUUCUCUCUUUCCCUGUAGAAACCUCUGCGCCAUGAGAGCCAAGUGGAGGAAGAAGCGAAUGCGCAGGCUGAAGCGCAAAAGAAGAAAGAUGAGGCAGAGGUCCAAGUAAACCGCUAGCUUGUUGCACCGUGGUGGCCACAGGAGCAGAAACAUGGAAUGCCAGACGCUGGGGAUGCUGGUACAAGUUGUGGGACUGCAUGCUACUGUCUAGAGCUUGUCUCAAUGGAUCUAGAACUUCAUCGCCCUCUGAUCGCCGAUCACCUCUGAGACCCACCUUGCUCAUAAACAAAAUGCCCAUGUUGGUCCUCUGCCCUGGACCUGUGACAUUCUGGACUAUUUCUGUGUUUAUUUGUGGCCGAGUGUAACAACCAUAUAAUAAAU
rnacentral:lncRNA from 1 species